rnacentral:rRNA from 1 species
UACGUAGGGAGCAAGCGUUGUCCGGAAUCAUUGGGCGUAAAGCGCGCGUAGGUGGCCUCAUAAGUCCGCUGUGAAAGUCAAAAGGCUCAACCUUUGAAAGCCGGUGGAUACUGUGAGGCUAGAGUACGGAAGAGGCGAGUGGAAUUCCUGGUGUAGCGGUGGAAUGCGCAGAUAUCAGGAGGAACACCAAUAGCGAAAGGCAGCUC